CAUCUGGGCUCCGCGGUGGGGCCCUGGGUCCUGGGCAGCUGGCGACUCCAGGAUCUCGGGCCACAGUGCAGGGACACAGGGCGGGGCCCUCCGUGCAGAAAGAAGGAGGGCGGUGCCGGACGCCAUGCCCACAUAAGGUGGCCUUCGAGGCGGUGACAGGGGCAGACACGCGGGUAAACUGAGCAUUUGCAGGUGUGCGCACUCCCAUCCCGGAAACAGUGCUCAGAUUUGUUAGAGGCGGAGAUGCAGGACGCUCUUGUAGAGCAGAGUGCAGUCUCAGAGCAGGGAGCAGGUACAGCCGGCCCUGGGCCUCCAGGGUUCGGGUGGUGGGAAGCAGGAUCCUAAUCCACACCGCAGUCCGUCUCCUGUGGGAGAGGGUGGCAAGGGCCCGUUCAUGUGGGAAAUCCUGACGGGUCGUCCAUUCCCCCA
rnacentral:lncRNA from 1 species